GAAUGAGUGAGCACGUGAACGAGUGCUUUCUCCACUAUUCUGUCUCCUCACCUGCCGCUAGGGGGCACUCCCCACUGCAGAUGGCUUUGGUUUCAUUCCUGCCGAGUGCUGGUGUCCCCUGCUGUCCUGAGAGCAGAACGUUCCUAUGAAAACUUUGGUUAAGCUGAAAUGGUGUGAAGUGAAGAAGCAGUUACCUUAGGACAAGUCUUGCUAACAGAUGCACAAAAUAAAUAGAGAUAAACCAUAGACGGUUCAAAGCCAUGGCAGCUUGAUGCUGAGAUGUGGAGCACGUUUCCCAGGAAGCAGCUCAGAGGUGCCCCUUUCCCUGCCUGGAGGGCGCACUGCCUCCAUCAUGGCUGCGUGCCAAGCCUGAAUGCCGUUCUUGUGUUUCACCUUUUCCUGUGAAAGUAAAACUCCUCUUUGAAUGUCUUGCAGUUAGCAAACACAGAAGUGCCAGGCACUCCUUCGGUGGCCCGAGAAGCAUGGAUGGCUGGUGGGACUGGCGCCCGACCACGAUGCUGGAAGGCCUGUACCAGGGAGGCCUCUCCACAGCCAGCAUGCCGGGUGCUCAGGUGGGCGUCCAUCUGCCCUUCACAGGGGUGGUGUCACAGUGGGGUGAAAUAGCCACAGACACCUGACUCGUAACACGGCGCAGGUUCUUGAAUGAUCUGUAGGUCGUAGGGCCCGCGGCUGUCCCCAGAGUAUCCUAUUCUUUUCUCUGCCCCUCACACCUCUGCCCCCUCCUCUCACACCCCCUUUAGCCACACCAGCUUCUCCAGACCCCUUGUUUGCCGGGCCAGAGCUGGACGCAGGGGCAUGGCUGGUCCCUAGGAGCUCGUAGGCCCAUGGGGAUGGAAGGCUGGUUCAGUAAGCAAAGCGCUGUGACACGGAGGCACAGGGACACCUCUGGAGCGAGAAGGAGCAAAAGCUAAGAUGGGACCAUCCGGAAACCGCCAGGCAAGGCUUGUCCUGCCCUUCUGAAGCAAGGUUACCAGUGAAUGUGCAUUUUGAGUCAUAACCGUAUUCUUUGCUUACUUCUUAUUUUCC
rnacentral:lncRNA from 1 species